GCCCCGGUAGCCCAAUUGGCAGAGGCAGGCGACUUAAAAUCGUCACAGUCUGGGUUCGACCCCCAGCCGGGGCA
rnacentral:tRNA from 1 species